UCCAGCCUGCUAGGGGUAUCCAGUACAUCCUCACUGGGAUGGAAAAGCAGGAGGAGGAAGAAAAACAUCUUCAGGAGAUUCUUACCGCACAGGUGCUAGGUGUCCAGUAGCCUACUGAGAAUCUAAUAAUCCCAACUCCAGAGUAUAUUGUUCUAGGUACUAGGAAUCCAGUAGCAUACUGAGAAUCUAAUAAUCCCAACUUCAGAGUAUAUUGUUCUAGGUGCUAGGUGUCUAGGAGUAUACUAAGAAUCUAAUAAUCCCAACUCCAGAGUAU